rnacentral:rRNA from 1 species
AUUGAACGCUGGCGGCAGGCCUAACACAUGCAAGUCGAGCGGAUGACGGGAGCUUGCUCCUUGAUUCAGCGGCGGACGGGUGAGUAAUGCCUAGGAAUCUGCCUGGUAGUGGGGGACAACGUUUCGAAAGGAACGCUAAUACCGCAUACGUCCUACGGGAGAAAGCAGGGGACCUUCGGGCCUUGCGCUAUCAGAUGAGCCUAGGUCGGAUUAGCUAGUUGGUGGGGUAAUGGCUCACCAAGGCGACGUUCCAUAACUGGUCUGAGAGGAUGAUCAGGCACACGGGAACUGAGACACGGUCCAGGCUCCUACGGUAGGCAGCAGUGGGGAAUAUUGUCCAGUGGGCGAAAGCCUUAUCCAGCCAUGCGGCGUGUGUGAAGAAGUUCUUCGGAUUGUAAAGCACUUUAAGUUGGGAGGAAGGGCAGUAAGUUAAUACCUUGCUGUUUUGACGUUACCGGCAGAAUAAGCACCGGCUAACUCUGUGCCAGCCGCCGCCGUAA